ensembl:snRNA U6 U6 spliceosomal RNA
UUGCUCACUUCAGCAGCACCUGAACUAAAAUUGGAACAAUACAGAGAAGAUCAGCAGGGCCCCUGCACGAGGACGACACACAAAUUCACGAAGUGUUUCAUUUUAAA